AACGAACGCUGGCGGCAGGCCUAACACAUGCAAGUCGAACGCCCUGGCGACAGGGAGUGGCAGACGGGUGAGUAACGCGUGGGAACGUGCCUUUCGGUUCGGAAUAACCCAGGGAAACUUGGGACUAAUACCGGAUACGUGCGAGAGCAGAAAGAUUUAUCGCCGAAAGAUCGGCCCGCGUCCGAUUAGCUAGUUGGUGAGGUAAAGGCUCACCAAGGCGACGAUCGGUAGCUGGUCUGAGAGGAUGAUCAGCCACACUGGGACUGAGACACGGCCCAGACUCCUACGGGAGGCAGCAGGUGGGGAAUAUUGGACAAGUGGGCGCAAGCCUGAUCCAGCCAUGCCGCGUGAGUGAUGAAGGCCCUAGGGUU
rnacentral:rRNA from 1 species